rnacentral:siRNA from 1 species
ACGGUGAUGGUAACAACGACGA